UACGUAGGGUGCAAGCGUUGUCCGGAUUUAUUGGGCGUAAAGAGCUCGUAGGCGGUCUGUCGCGUCGGCUGUGAAAACCCGGGGCUCAACCCCGGGCCUGCAGUCGAUACGGGCAGACUAGAGUGCGGUAGGGGAGACUGGAAUUCCUGGUGUAGCGGUGAAAUGCGCAGAUAUCAGGAGGAACACCGGUGGCGAAGGCGGGUCUCUGGGCCGUAACUGACGCUGAGGAGCGAAAGCGUGGGGAGCGAACAGG
rnacentral:rRNA from 1 species